GCCCUCGGGUGCCGCGUGCACGGGGACGUGCAAAGCUCCUCGUGCGUGCAAAAGUGCCACGUGCGUGUGUGCGGCGCGUGCAAGCGCGCUCCGUGCACGCUCAUGGCACGCGUGGUGCGUGCAAAGUUGCAAACUGUGCUCUGUGCGUGCAAACCUUGCUCCGUGCAGGCUCUUGGUGCACGUUCUGGGUGCAAAACUGCUCGGUGCACACUCCCGGUGCACGAUUUGCGUGCAAACCUUGCUCCGUGCACGCUCUUGGUGCACGUUCUGGGUGCAAAACUGCUCGGUGCACGCUCCCGGUGCACGACUUGCGUGCAAAGCUUGCUUGGUGCAUGCUCCCAGUGCACAUUGUGCACGCAAACCUUGCUCCGUGCAUGCUCCCAGUGCACACUGCGCUUGCAAACUGUGCUCGGUGCAUGCUCCUGGUGCACGAUUUGCAAGCAAAGGUGCCCCGUGCACGCUCAGUGUGCACUGUGCAUGCAAACCUUGUUCCGUGCACGCUCCCAGCGCACACUGCGCUUGCAACCAGUGCUCCGUGCAUGCUCUGGGUGCACGAUUUGCACGCAAACCUUGCUCCGUGCACGCUCUUGGUGCGUGUUCUGGGUGCAAACCUUGCUCGGUGCACGCCCCCGGUGCACGCUUUGCACGCAACCCCUGCUCUGCGCAUGCUCCGUGCACGCCCCCCC
rnacentral:lncRNA from 1 species